GACGUAGGAGGCGAGCGUUAUCCGGAUUCACUGGGCGUAAAGCGCAUGUAGGCGGAUGUCUAAGUCGUGUGUUAAAGCCCCUGGCUCAACUGGGGGAGGUCAUGCGAGACUGGAUGACUUGAGGGCAACAGAGGCACGUGGAACUCCCGGUGUAGCGGUGGAAUGCGUAGAGAUCGGGAAGAACACCCGUGGCGAAGGCGGCGUGCUGGGUUGCAACUGACGCUGAGACGCGAAAGCGUGGGGAGCGAACAGG
rnacentral:rRNA from 1 species